GCUUGUCUCAAAGAUUAAGCCAUGCAAAGGAACGUUCAACCCCAUUUGGGGAAGACGCUGGCCGGCUCAUUAAAUCAGUCAUAGUUCAUUCGACAGAUCACUCUACAUGGAUAACCGUAGUAACUCUAGAGCUAAUACAUGCACUCGAGCCUCGACCGAGGCCCCGGCAACGGGGUCGCGGAAGAGGUGCUUUUAUUAGAUCAAAACCAGUCGGGGAAACGAUCGCGCCGGGUCAAACCGGUCGGUCGCGGAACCGUACCAAUUUUGGUGACUCUGGAUAACUUCACGCCGAUCGCACGGCCUUCGCGCCGGCGACGUAUCUUUCAAAUGUCUGCCUUAUCAACUGUCGAUGGUAGGUUACGCGCCUACCAUGGUUGCAACGGGUAACGGGGAAUCGGGGUUCGAUUCCGGAGAGGGAGCCUGAGAAACGGCUACCACAUCCAAGGAAGGCAGCAGG
rnacentral:rRNA from 1 species